CAUGCUCCCUCCACACUCCAGUUUGAAGUCCCCAUUGUCACUUCAAGUGACUUUGCCAAUCAGAGGAGGAGGAGGAGGAGGAGGAGGAGGAGGAGGAGGAGGAGGAGGAGGAGAUCCUCCCAUUCAUGGCUUCAGAAAUGCCUGGAGACAGAAUAAGGAAAAAAUGUAGAAGCAUUAACUUUUUCAAAGUAUUUGUGGUUUUGAACCUGUCAAACCUGUGACACUUGUACAAGGUCACAGGACUGCUCAGAUCAGUGGGUUUCAGGAUGCUCACCCAAGACCAGAUUCUCAUCCUCUGACCACCCCAGGCACUCCCUUUCCUGCAGAGGCUGAUGAGAAGGACAUGUGGAAAGGACUGAAGUUGCCCUGGCCUCCCCAGGACCAGUUUGGGAGCCACAAAGACAGCACUGAUGAGUGACUGCCUGACACUCCAGUGUCACAAGAUGUGACAAGCAGAGCCACAGAUCCAUCUGUCACCCAAAUCUGCUGGGCUGCUUGUCCUCAGUCUGGAGCUGUUGCAGAGCCCUCUCUGCCUGGGGCUGUCUCAAAGAUGCCAGCCCUCAUGUCACUUGGUAAAAUGGCGUGGGUUCCCAGGUCCCUUUGUGAACCAUUUGGAUCAUCCAUAGCAGGAAUGGAAAACUGGGCGUUUGCCACAUCGGGAGGCAGAUGUGUGUCUGACUGCCCUGGCUGAGGUGCUGUGGGCACUGAAGCCGCCUUAGCUGCCAUGGUUCUGCUUCUGUAGACAUCCACUCAAUGUCUUCUAGAACAUACUUUGUAGGCACCAAACCAGCGAAUUGAUAACUUAAGGACUGCCCCCAUACAUCUUGGACAUCUUGGGACUUUACUGGCCAUGCUCACUUCUGCCCCGGCCCACCCCACCUCUCCCCUGGGAUAUGGCAUUGGUUGGUGUUAUGUGACAGACUUUUUCCUAGGGAGACUUCACACACGUUUAUCAACCCCAGAAAGGGAACCCACAACAGACCAAGUAAUGAUUUUAUCAAAAUCCAAUCGUUUACUGAGAUUUCUAACAGGAAUAUGGCUGGGAAGUCACUUAUGGAAACAGGGAUGACUCUAAACAGCCAAAUCACUGAAAAGCCCACCCCAGCAGGGGUGACAACUCACAAAAGCUGUCUGAGGAAUCCCUCUCAGAUCUGCUGGUCAGUCCCCUCCUCUUCGUCUAUGAAACUGGGAGGGGCCUUGCGAAUCUCCCCAGUUUCCGAUUUCCCAGACAAUUGGCUUGAUGUUUCAUUUUACACUGGGUCCGGCUGAGACACCAUAUCCCACCCAGACUUCGACUCGGAGCCAGGAAGUGGAAUGACUCUGUGAACUCUGUGGAGAAACACAUGCUGCACCAAGCUUGGGCAGCAUUCUGUCGGGAUUCCACCCACUGCUUCUCCAACUGGGAUGCUGUGCAGAUCUUGGACCCUGCAUCCAACAGUCUCAGAAAGGUCUGGUUAUUCUUCCUUCAAGGAGGCACUGUGACUCCAGGAAGUGGCCAUGGGUCUCUUUGGAAAUAAAUAACCAGGCUAUCAGUGCCAUACGGUCAAGUGUGGCAGCAACUUUGGGGAUGGGUAACCUCCCUUUGGAAGAGUGGGUCUGGUGUGCACUCUAGCUCAGUAAACAACUGUGGCCUUUUCCUGUCACAGUGUCUGUCUUCAGUCUCUGAUGGUCCAUUGAAUCCUUCUGAUGGUGUAAAUUACGCCAGUACCCUUGCUGCCUGCUCCUCUGUCUCGUUCUGGGAACACCAGAUAACUAUCUGCCGAGUGCUGUUCAGACUUCCACCUGCCACUCCCGUCUUACAGUAAUUUUCCCCACCUUGCUCAUAAUUUUAAGUUCCACCAAGGGGUGUCAUUAUCUCAAGCUCCCCUCUUCCCUAUUGAUACCAGGGAAGACAGUCCAAUCACAGCAACUAUUAUUGCCAGCCUUGGCUUCUAGAGGUCAGCCAUCAUGGAGCUUCUGGACCACGCCACCCACCAUUGACCCUCUCUCACCAGCACCUGAGAAAUGCACCAUCGCCAGGAGUCCUUGGAGCUGGGGCAGCAGCUGGGGUUCUGACAUUUCUUAUUCACUGAGAUGAGUCCUACCUGGAUGUCCCCAAGUGUCAUCUUAGCAGCAGUGAGCAUCCUUCCUGAAGACCUUGCAAGGCUGUGAAAUCCUGUAUCCCUGGUGGACCUCUCCUGUUCCCACUUGGCACCACACUGCCUCCGGCCCAGGGGCCUUUGUCAUCAAUCCCUGCAAGUCAGCAGUGAUCCUGCAGCCUGCUUGGCACAACAUCUGCUUUGUGACCCUUUCCUGGGGAGAUGUAAACAAGUCUCUGCUCCCCAUCGGCCGCACACCAAUGACAGAUCGAAAUAACAAUUGCUCCAAAGUUCAGCGUCAGCUUGGAGAACCAAUGAGGAGUUUAUUGGGCUUACUUAUAGAGCACGGAUAAUGGUUACACACCGGAGCUCAGGUGACCUCAAAGCUGUCACAUCACUGAAAAAUCUCACCCAGCAUGGAUGAACCUUCCACAGUCUAUGUACUAGCCCCGCCCCGUGGCCUCCCGCCCCCGCCCCACGAUCUUGAGACUAUGUGCAGUUGAGGGAAAUUACUUACUGCUGCAGGGAGUGGCUGAAACCUCGGGUGGGGCUCUAGUGAGUCUCCUCAUCUUUCCUAGGAGAGAAUGUCAACAGUCCUGCCUCAAGGGUGUCUUGAGUGUUGUCAUGGCUGCUCUGAUGAAAAUGGUAACCGUUCUCGUGCCUGUGGGACAGUGCUCUCCAGCACCAUUCUUUACUUCCCUAAGUUGCAGCACAAUCACAUCUUGAUCCCAGUCAAGGCGGAUGUCUGUCUCAGGGUAGAUGCUUUCUGUUUUGCAAGCCUGAGGCCUGUCUCUACCAGCAGGUGGGACCACAACCUUUAACCAGGAGUGGGCCAAGUGUGCAGAGCCAGAGGGCUAGUGAGGACGUAGAGACUUGAGAUUGUCAAAUGCACCCACAAAAAGUCCCCACCCAUGUGCCAAUCAUCCGGAUCCCAUGCUCUCCCGCAGCCCUGACCCACGAGCAGCUUCUGGACUUGGGAUCCAGCAGCUUCUCAUUAAGCUACAGUCUGGUCCUCGGCAUCUUCCGUCCUCCACCUGAGGAACUGCGAGGCUCUUAACACACAUAGUCCAGGAGGCCCUGUGGGUUUUACACUUCACCGGGAUGGGUGACUGUUCCACCCUAGCCUGUCAUGAUCCUCCUCCCCCUAACCAUUACUCUACAACUUUGCUUUUGUAUUUGUAUUUAUAAUGAUUCUUCCACAUCUGUCAAAUGCUUGCCCACGCCAGCCAGUGCAUCUGCUCCUAUAACCUCUCAAUCCCAGGUCACCCCAAUUGUGCUUUUAACCUAUGCACUGACAGCAUGUGGUAGGCUUUCCAUAUUGUCCCUACCUCCAGGAACAGGUUUCUGGUUGCCAGAAAACCAACAGGUCAUGUGCCACAAAAAUCUCAUCUCAUCCAGGUGGUGGUGGUUCAUGCUUUUAAUUCCAGCAUUCAGGAGACAGAGGCAGGUGGAUCUCUGAGUCCAAGGCCAGCAUGGUCUACAAAAUGAAUUCCAGGACAGCCAGGGCUACACAGAGAAACCCUGUCUCAAAACAACAACAACAACAAAAAGUCUCAUCUCAAAUUGUCUCUCCCUGAUCUCUUCCCAUUCUUUCUUCCAUCAGAGCUCAGAAGCUGGCUCUGUGGAAGGAGAGCUGAAUUAGACAGAGGGGACUUGGCUUUGCCUCGGUGGUUAUAGAAGCCCCAGCUGGAAACACAUGGAAUCUCUGAAGUUCAACUGAACCCUUGGAGCUGUCUCAAAUGGAAGACUCUUGAUUCUCAAAAGAACUAUGAGAUUUAAGUUGUGGGGAAUGGAUGGGGGCAUUGGGAAGAACACACCUAUGGUCAAGAUUCCCCAAGGUUGAUUAACUGGUUAGAACUGUGGUUGUGAGAAAGUAAAACACCGCUAGUCAGACUCCAAUUAUCUUGGCCAACUUUAGCCUUCUUUUACACUUAUCUGCUCUGUGUGUG
ensembl:lncRNA